rnacentral:rRNA from 1 species
UACGUAGGUGGCAAGCGUUGUCCGGAAUUAUUGGGCGUAAAGCGCGCGCAGGCGGUCCUUUAAGUCUGAUGUGAAAGCCCACGGCUCAACCGUGGAGGGUCAUUGGAAACUGGGGGACUUGAGUACAGAAGAGAAGAGUGGAAUUCCACGUGUAGCGGUGAAAUGCGUAGAGAUGUGGAGGAACACCAGUGGCGAAGGCGACUCUUUGGUCUGUAACUGACGCUGAGGCGCGAGAGCGUGGGGAGCAAACAGG